UACGAAGGGGGCUAGCGUUGUUCGGAUUUACUGGGCGUAAAGCGCACGUAGGCGGAUCGAUCAGUCAGGGGUGAAAUCCCAGAGCUCAACUCUGGAACUGCCUUUGAUACUGUCGAUCUGGAGUAUGGAAGAGGUGAGUGGAAUUCCGAGUGUAGAGGUGAAAUUCGUAGAUAUUCGGAGGAACACCAGUGGCGAAGGCGGCGACCUGGGCAGAUACUGACGCUGAGGAGCGAAAGCGUGGGGAGCAAACAGG
rnacentral:rRNA from 1 species